AGCUCACUACAGGUGACCUCCAGACACUCUUGACUUCAUCUUCUUACCUUCCCCUUGAGGCUGAAUCUCUAUGUCAGAGAUCAUGAAGAUUGGGGUUGGAAAUUGCUUGUCCCUGCUUGUCCACGUGCUUGGUCACAGAACUGUCCUGGGAAAUACCCUGAUGAAUUAUUUCAAAGGCACCCAAAGUGUCCUAACUUGAUGGUAGCAGGGGAAAAUCAAGGAUCAUCUCAGUGUGACUGAAUGAAAAGCAGUAUCUGGAUCUUCAUAAAUGAUGGAAUUGAUUUGCCACACCAAUUGGUAAAGGCCUGAAGCCAUGGUUAACAGGGUUAUUUUGCUGAAAACUUGAAUCAAGAAGCACUGAAAGGGCAAGAGUCCCGACGGCCCUCGAGGCAGAUGAUUGAUUCCUGGGGCUAUGUUGGAAAGUUUGGCAGAGAAGAGACUGAACUAUGCUGUUGGGAAAUCACUUUCACUGCAGUCUGGAAAAUGGAGGGCAGGAGAGGCUACAGCCCUGGGGAAGGGGUGGUGAUGAGUCAGCUAUGAACCAGCCUCUCUGCCGUGCACCGGGAAUGUGCCAGGAGCCACUGUGCUUGAUAUUGUGGGACCUCUUAGUCACUUUUGCUACUCCUGGGAGGAUGACGGUCUUCUGUUGGGAACUGCCUUUGCUGAAUUACCGGAGCCCCAUAGGUGCU
rnacentral:lncRNA from 1 species